GUGGGAACAAAGUCAGACAGAAAAACUACAUGCUACUUAGUCUCAUUACAGCAGGUCUUUUAUUGGUGUCUCUGUUGUUAUGUUCUUUACUACUUUAUUGUCAUUGUGAUGAAGUAAAAAAAGAAAGUGCAAAAAGCCAAGAUAAUAUGCCUUGCAGAGACGAUGAUACGUUAAAUGAGGAAAAUGGGAGAAGUACUG